rnacentral:rRNA from 1 species
CAGUCGCCGCGGUAAUACGAAGGGGGCUAGCGUUGCUCGGAAUUACUGGGCGUAAAGGGCGCGUAGGCGGACAGUUUAGUCGGGGGUGAAAGCCCGGGGCUCAACCUCGGAAUUGCCUUCGAUACUGGCUGUCUUGAGUGUGAGAGAGGUGUGUGGAACUCCGAGUGUAGAGGUGAAAUUCGUAGAUAUUCGGAAGAACACCAGUGGCGAAGGCGACACACUGGCUCACUACUGACGCUGAGGCGCGAAAGCGUGGGGAGCAAACAGGAUUAGAUACCCCAGUAGUCCCUGUCUCUUAUAC